AUCUACUCUCAAUUGGAUUUUCUCAAGAUGUCUAUCUCCAAUCCUAUACAAGCUCAGAUUGCUUCUAUGUCCAAUGCUCUAGUGGCUCCUAUUUGUGGUAUAUGCAAUUCAACAAUGCAUAUCACCUCUAAUUGCAUGCAUGCUCAAGAUGUUGGGGCUAUGUAUCAACAACAAAGGCCCUACAAUUAUCAACAUAACCAAGGAGCAAGGAACAAUUUUGAGGCUAACUAUGGGAGCACAUAUAACCCAAGUUGGAGGCAGCACCCUAACUUCAGCUACAAGGGUAAUCAAGAGGUUGUGCAAGCCAAGAAUUCUCAAGUGAUCCAUAUUCAAGAUGGUGGAGGUGAUAAACAAAUGUAUUCCUACCUUGAGAGGAUGGGUGAUGCUAUGUUUUCUAUGGGUCAAAAGUUUGAUUCUCAUGUGUCUAGGGCAGAAUCAAAAAUAGACAUGAUGCUUAAGAGGCUAGACAAUCUUGAAUCAAAGCAACAAAGCACUGAUUUGGUGGUGCAACAAUUUGGGAAUUCAAAUAGCAUUAGCCAAGCUCAAGGAAGUGGAAAGCUCCCAACUCAACCUGUCAUCAAUCCAAAGAGCCUUAGUGCAAUUGAGUUGAGGAGUGGAAGAGUUUUUGAAGCCAUUCCAAAUACCUCAAACCAUAGUGGCAGCAAGCCUAAUGAGGUUUUUUCAAGGAAUUCUCAAAUUUGUGAAGGAAGAUCACUUUUUCUUGCUGAUCCACGUGAUUCCACUUGCUGUGACAGCAAGCUAAAUGUGCAUCCAAGUGCCUCACAUAGCCUCAAGAACACGCCUCCUACUUCUCUAAGUCCUCAAGUGAUUGAUGAUGAGGAUGACUCUAUUGAAGAGAUUGUAGUUGAGGAUGCAAAUGGGGCAAGAUCAGCCCUGAAUGCUCAAGAAAAAGAGGUGAAAUUGAGCUCAAAUCAAGGCCAAGACAGUGCUGGAACAGCCACGGUUCAUCCAUCUUCUAAGGCAAAUGAGAAUGAUUCAAGCAAGCCUAAGGAGAAAGAGGUGUUGGGAAGAAGAGAGCCUCCAAAAGAAUAUCAAAUUGGGGACCCUAUUCCAUGGGAUAUGCCAUUCCCUAAGGCCUUGACUAGAUUUGCUAAGAAAGAGCAAGAAGAAGAUAGGCAUGAUGUGUUUGAUAUGUUGAAGAAGGUGGAAGUGAACAUACCACUUCUUGAGAUGAUAAAAAGCAUGCCUAAGUGUGCAAAGUUUUUGAAGGAGUUGUGCACUAAUAAAAGGGGAUUCAAACCAUUGGCUACAGUUCAAAUGAGUCUUAAUAUUAGUGCUAUCUUCAAGCCACAACUCCCUCUAAAGUGUAGAGAUCCGGGGGCAUGUACCAUUCCUUGUCAAAUAGGGAAUGUGUUUGUUCAAGAAGCCUUGAUUGACCUAGGGGCAGCCAUCAAUGUGAUGCCCACUCACAUUUAUUCUUCACUUAAUCUUGGUGGUCUUCAAGAUUGUAGUGUCAUCUUGCAACUAGCCGACCGGAGCACUAGGAAGCCUAAGGGAUUCUUGGAAGACAUCUUAGUGAAGGUUAAGGACUUGGUUUUUCCAGCAGAUUUUUAUGUGUUGGAUAUGCAAGAAGGAGGCCAAGGCACACUCAUUCUUGGGAGACCUUUUAUGAUGACAUCAAGUACUAUAUUGAACAUGAAGGAAGGUAAACUUACCAUGGAGUUUUUGGACAGCAAGAUUGAAUUUAACAUAUUUGAUAGCUUGAAAAACUCUUAUGUUGAUUAUAGCCUUCAUUUUGUGGAUUGCAUUGAUGAUACACUUGAUGGAAUCAUUGAUGAGGUUUCUAUGCCUCCUAGCUUGGAUGAUGUUGCAUCUUUGCCUAGUUUCACCUGUUCAUGCACUCAUGACUCUAUUUGUGUGAAUUGCAAUAAUAUAGUGUUAAUUUUGUCUAAUUUGAAAAAUCAAGAUGAAUUGCAUUCACUUGAGCAUGAGCAUUUGAAUGGCAACACACUUGACAUGCCUCACUCAUCUACUUGCACUCCAUUUGAAGCACUUGUGUUGUCUAGUUCUUCACAUGACCAAACAUAUGCUUCCUUGAGUGAUUUGCUUGCAUUGGAUGAGUUUGAUGAUUUGAGUAUCAAUUCUGGAAAUUCUGUUGAUUUAGUGAUUGAAUCAAGUGAUGAGAGUGAAAUUGCAUCUAAUGAUGGCCCUAGUUCAUCUUCCACAUGUCAUAUUUCAUCACAUCAUUUGAUUUCUUCUAGUGAAUUUAAUUCUGGAAUUUUUAACAGCUUUAAUCCUUUUGUGCAUAAUCAUUCUCCAAGGUUGGAGGAGUGUUCUACUUGUGAUGUUUCAGGUUUAGGGACACUUGAAAAGCAUGAACAAAGUGAUUUUGAGGCUGUUAAUGAUCCAAGGGGCGUGCAAAUUGGUGCUGAAAGUCCAGAAUCAGAUCUGACCAAAAUGGGAAUUAAUUUUAGAGCAAGCCAACCAGAUCUGGACGUGAGGCACAAAGUUGGAACAAAGCAAGUCAAUUUGGACGAAAUUUUGCAUAUAGCAGCUGUUGGAAGCUUGUACAUGCCACUUAAAGAGGAAGACAUGGAUCUGGCAAGACAAAUUCAAGUGCAAAAGAUUCCUCCAAGCAUCAUUGAGCCACCCAAUCUAGAGUUGAAGCCACUUCCUUCACAUCUUAAGUAUUCUUACUUAAAAAAUGGUAAUCAACUUCCUAUUAUUGUUUCUUCUUCACUAACCCCUAUGGAAGAGUCUUUGUUGUGUGAUGUAGUGAGGAAGAACAUUGAAACCAUUGGGUGGACACUUGGAGACAUUCCUGGAAUUAGCCCUCAAACUUGCACACAUAGGAUCAUGUUGGAGGAAAAUGCUAAGGCAAUAAGGCAGCCACAAAGGAGGUUGAAUCCUCUCAUACUUGAUGUGAUAAAGAAGGAGGUCACCAAACUCUUGAGUGCAGGUAUAAUCUACCCUAUUAGUGAUAGUGAAUGGGUGUCUCCAUUGCAAGUUGUGCCCAAGAAGAGUGGAAUUACUGUGGUAAAGAAUGAACAUGAUGAAUUGAUUCCUACUAUGGUACAAAAUAUUGGAGGGUAUGCAUUGAUUAUAGGAGGUUGAAUGAGGCAACCAAGAAAGACCAUUUCCCUCUCCCAUUUAUUGAUCAAAUGUUAGAAAGAUUAGGGGGGAAAUCUCAUUAUUGCUUCCUUGAUGGAUAUAGUGGUUAUUUUCAGAUUUGCAUUGAUCCGGUUGAUCAACACAAAACCACUUUCACUUGCCCAUUUGGUACCUUUGCAUAUAGAAGAAUGCCUUUUGGAUUGUGUAAUGCUCCAGGGACUUUCCAAAGAUGCAUGUUUGGUAUUUUUAGUGAUUUUAUUGAAAAUUGCAUGGAAGUGUUCAUGGAUGAUUUCACAAUUCAUGGGGAUUCUUAUUCUUCUUGCUUGAGAAAUCUUGAUAAAGUCCUUGCUAGAUGUGUGGAGAAGAACUUGGUUUUGAACUUUGAGAAGUGCCAUUUUAUGGUUGAGGAAGGGAUUGUCUUGGGCCACUUGGUUUCAAGCCAUGGCAUUGAGGUGGAUAGGGCCAAAAUUGAAGUGAUUUCAUCUUUGUCCUAUCCAACUAAUGUCAAGGACUUGAGAUCUUUCCUUGGCCAUGUGGGUUUUUAUAGAAGAUUUAUUAAAGAUUUUUCAAAGAUUGCACAUCCCUUGUCUCAAUUACUUCAAAAAGACAAAUUUGAGUUCUCUCCAAGUUGUAGAGAUGCAUUUGAUGCUUUGAAGGCUAAGCUUGUUUCCCCUCCUAUUUUGAGGAUUCCUAAUUGGUUGAUUCCAUUUGAGAUUUCAUGUGAUGCCUCUAAUUUUGCUGUUGGGGCUAUGUUGGGACAAAGGGAAAACAAGCUACCUUAUGUUAUUGCAUAUGCAUCUAGGACUUUAGACAAAGCACAAUGCAAUUACACUACAACCGAGAAAGAAUUGUAUGCAUUAGUGUUUGCUCUUGACAAGUUUAGAUCUUACUUGUUGCAUUCCAAGGUUGUUUGUUUUACAGAUCAUGCGGCCUUAAAGUACCUUUUAAAGAAGAAGGACACCAAGCCACGUUUGCUUAGAUGGAUGCUUCUACUUCAAGAGUUCAAUUUGGAGAUCAUUGAUAGGAGUGGAGCAACAAAUCAUGUGGCGGAUCACUUGAGUCGAUUGCCUUAUGACUCCAUUAUGGUUUGGCAUCCUAAGAGCAAUCAUCACAGACUAAGGGACACACUUUUGCAACAAGACUAUCUCCUCUUUGCUUCAAAAAUAUGGUGUUCUACACAAGGUGGCAACCCCAUAUCAUCCUCAAACAAAUGGGUUGGCUGAGUGUUCGAACAAGGAGAUCAAGUCUAUCCUCCAAAAGAUAGUGAGACCGAAUAGGAAGGAUUGGAGCUCAAGACUUGAGGAGGCUCUUUGGGCAUACCGGACCGCCUUCAAGACACCCAUUGGGAUGUCUCCAUUUUUAGGUUGGUCUAUGACCUUGAGCUUGAGAAGCUUCCAUGGAUGAAUGAAGAUGAAGAAGUUGCAAUCUGGAAAUCUGGACAAGAGAUGGACGAAAAUGCAAGCUGAAAUGGAGAAGAAAGUGGACAAAAAUCUGAAUAGAGAAGGAAUGAUGAUUUGGACCAAGUGUUGAUGAUGGAAGAUGAAGAAAUGAAAUCUGAAAAACGGAUGAACAGUGCUGGACGAAAAUGAAUGAAGAAGAAGAGAGAGAAAUCUGGAAAAAUCUGACAAGUGAAGGUGAAGAAUGAAUACGAAAAAUGAAAAAUGAAGGAUUAAGUAUGUGUGGAAAAUGUGAGUGGUGAUAAAACUAAAGUGGAUGGUGAUAAAAACAAGGAAGGUCCAGAUCUGAAAUGAGCUGGAAAAAUGGACGAAAAUAAGCUAAAAUGGGAAUAAAAAUGAGGUGGAAAAUGUGGCAAGGGACAUGUGAGCAUGUGUGGGAAAUGUGACUCCUCCUUAGGCUCCCAAUCAGCUGCCACAUGUCAUCCCAUUAGAUCUGAUCAUGUCACACCUCCCAUGCCUCUUCUUCACUUAAUGAUGUGUCCCUCAAUGCUUCCCAUGCUCCUUUGAUUUUUUAUUUAAUUAAUUCUCCCCAAUUAAAUCUGAAUAAUUGUGCUACAUCAUCCCUCAAAUAAUUCUGGAAUUUGCGCCCAACAGCCCCUAAAUUCUUCAUCUUUAUUUAUUUGCUAUCUCUUGAAUUUCUCCAAGCAUGUGGACUAGCUUUUGAUCCUUGAUUUCAAAAUUGCCCUCACAAAAUCUGAAAAUAAAACACAAGACUAA